AGCCAACACAGUUUUUUUUAAUAUAUAUAUAUAUAUAUAUAUAAUAUAUAUAUAUAGUUUUUUUUUUUUUUAAUGGGGUAGCCCCCAAAAUAUUGGGACAUAUAAAAAAGACAACUCUGUUCCGCAGAGUAGCUGUUGACAUUAUAGUUGCGCAGGCACUUUGUUGACUCUAGAGAACCUCGGCUAAUCGCACAUCCCCGUGGCGGUGACUUUGCAUGCGGAUGUCAUCCAUAUCAACUUUCGAAGACAGUUUCUGCGCCUACCAUGGUGACCACGGGUAACGGGAAUCAGGGUUCCAUUCCUAUACAGAGACCCUGAGAAACGGCUACCACAUGCAAGGAAGGCAGCAGGCG